UACGUAGGUGGCAAGCGUUGUCCGGAAUUAUUGGGCGUAAAGCGCGCGCAGGCGGUUAUGUAAGUCUGAUGUUAAAGCCCGGGGCUCAACCUCGGUUCGCAUUGGAAACUGUGUAACUUGAGUGCAGAAGAGGAAAGUGGUAUUCCACGUGUAGCGGUGAAAUGCGUAGAGAUGUGGAGGAACACCAGUGGCGAAGGCGACUUUCUGGUCUGUAACUGACGCUGAGGCGCGAAAGCGUGGGGAGCAAACAGG
rnacentral:rRNA from 1 species